UCAUCUUCUUCAUUUUCUUGUGGGUGCCGAAUACACCAUAACCACAAACACCAAGCUUUAUUCUUUGAUUUUCUCUCAAAACUUUCUUCACGAAAAUUGUCGGGAAUAUUGCGUAGAUCGUGUAGGUGUAUUUGCAUGUUGAAUCAAGAUCCAGCGAGUUUUGUCGCGGAAACCGGCGAGCAAAGGUUUUGAUAUUCGACGGGUGGUAUUUUUAUAUUUGGAAUAAGCGAGUACUGUGAGUGUGUUUACAACUUAUACUGCUAAAUAUUAGUAUUAAAAAUAUUGCGAACUGCUUUA